GGGCGGUUUCAAUCUAGGAGGCUGGUCUAUUCUACUACACGGAUAACUGUAGUAAUUCUAGAGCUAAUACGUGCCUCGAUGCCCUGAUCCGCAAGGUGAGGGGUGCACUUAUUAGAUUACAGACCAAACGGCUCACGCCGUAGUUUGUGAUGACUCUGGAUAACUUUGUAUGAUCGCAGCUGGCCUUGUUGUCGGCGACGGAUCCAUCAAAUAUCUGCCCUAUCAACUUUCGAUGGUAGGAGACAUGCCUACCAUGGUUAUGACGGGUAACGGGGAAUCAGGGUUCGAUUCCGGAGAGGGAGCCUGAGAAACGGCUACCACAUCCAAGGAAGGCAGCAGGCGCGUAAAUUACCCACUCUCUGAACGAGGAGGUAGUGAAGAUAAAUAUCGAUACAGAACUCAAAUGAGGCUCUGUAAUCGAAAUGAGUGCAAUAUAAAUCCUACAACGAGGAUCUAUUGGAGGGCAAGUCUGGUGCCAGCAGCCGCGGUAACUCCAGCUCCAAUAGCGUAUAUUAAAGUUGUUGCAGUUAAAAAGCUCGUAGUUGGAUCUGGGCCAUGUAGUGACUGUCGGUUUCGCGUGAGCAUGCUUUGGUGUGUUCGCGUGGGCCGGUAUCUUCGCUCAUGGCUUCGCAGCUGUGUCCAUUUGUCUUCGGGCAUUUGGAUGCUACUGGGUGUUAGCCUUUGCCCCUUUAUGGGGGGGCGGGAGGCAGCUCAGUAUCAUGUUUCUGUUUGAUGCCCUUUAACCGGGUGUCCGGGAACUCUCAGCACGUUUUACUUGAACAAAUUUGAGUGCUCAAGCAAGCGCUUGUGCCCUGAAAAUUCUUGCAUUGAAUUAAUAGAAUAGACUUUAGGAUCCUAUUUGUUGCAUGGAAUAGAACCGGCAAGGUAAAAUGUGA
rnacentral:rRNA from 1 species